rnacentral:siRNA from 1 species
AGGAUUUAACCCAUGGUACACCAC